rnacentral:rRNA from 1 species
UACGUAGGGUGCAAGCGUUGUCCGGAAUUAUUGGGCGUAAAGAGCUCGUAGGCGGUCUGUCGCGUCGGCUGUGAAAACUCGGGGCUCAACUCCGAGCUUGCAGUCGAUACGGGCAGGCUAGAGUUCGGCAGGGGAGAUCGGAAUUCCUGGUGUAGCGGUGAAAUGCGCAGAUAUCAGGAGGAACACCGGUGGCGAAGGCGGAUCUCUGGGCCAUUACUGACGCUGAGGAGCGAAAGCGUGGGGAGCGAACAGG